ACUACGAGCCAAGCUUAAAACCCAAAGGACUUGACGGUACCCCAUAUCCCCCUAGAGGAGCCUGUCCUAUAAUCGAUAAUCCACGUUUAACCUCACCAUUUUUAGUUAGUCAGCCUGUAUACCUCCGUCGUCAGCUUACCACGUGAGCGCCAAUUAGUGAGCCUAAUGUUUAUUCACCAACACGUCAGGUCAAGGUGCAGCAAAUGAAAUGGAAAGAGAUGGGCUACACUUUUUAUCUUAGAAGAAACGAAAAACUAUUUAUGAAAUCUAGUUAGAAGGCGGAUUUAGCAGUAAAAAGGAAUCAGCACGUCCAUUUUAACCCGGCACUGGGGUGUGUACACACCGCCC
rnacentral:rRNA from 1 species